GGGCGCUUGGUCUAGGGGUAGUAAGUUUAACCAACACAGACUUAUUCUCAGAGUCUCUUCUAACUAUUAUCCAGUGAUUUUCGUUUCGCAUAUGAAAGGUCGUGGGUUCAAUUCCCACAGCGUCCA